ACAGUACAAACGUUACUACUAACGUAAUGUGUAACGCUGAGAAGCAAUGCACUAACAACUGGUAUGACAUUCCCAUUUAUUAUUCUCUUUUGUUUACCAUCUGCUGCUAAGGUUUUCAGAGUAAUAGUAUUAUAUAGAAAAACACAAAUUGCAUUCAAUAUUAAAAAGUACAUUGAUAUUACAUUGACUUUAUCAGGUCUAUGUUUAAAUUAUGCAGCCCCAUUUGCACCCAGAUCUCACUACUGACUUCCUUUUUUGAUGAGUUCGAUGUGGGAUUUCUUUCUUGUAUCAAUGUUCUUACUCGUUUGGCUUGGUUGAUAAUUGAAAUCUUGCAAAAAAAUGCUUUGGUAUGCUGCUAGUAAAUUUAUCGCAACUUUGAUUAACAAGAAUAUCUUGAAACUUGCAGAACCCAGGAAUGUAAAACAGUAUAAAAAUGUUUCCUAUUGUGGAAGAUGGCUUGAUUACAUGAGGUGAAAUUCACUCCUAUGCAGAAGACCAGCACAAGACGUGUCCACGGCUUGACUGGUGCUUGCCUUUCCAUUGGCCCUCUUCAGAGGUGUGAAUUUCACCCCAUAGCAAGAAUUCUAUAUUUCUACCAGUUAAAUGAAGAUUUUAAAUUGAUUAUUUUCUCUCUUCAAAAGAAGGCUGUUAACAGCUGAUUUGUUAUUUCUUUGAGAAUUUUAUUCUUUCACUUAGAAAGAAAAUAUAUUAGAAAAUAUUGCAAGAAAAUGUAUUAGAAGCCUGAGGAUUUUUGGUAGGAGGGACAGAAAGAGAUAAAAAUGACAAAGAAGGUGAUAAUAAAACAUUAGCAAGUGUAGCCGUACAAUAUACCCUUAAAACUAUAGGGAAAUAGAUGUCUUUUACUUAUGCACACAAGUAACUGAAUGGUAGUGUGAAAGUCAUGUGGAUAAAUAGUAUUUCAGGAGGAAAAGUAUAUAGAUCUGUAUGAGGACACAUCUAUACAUAUUCAUUAUCUGUGCACACCUACAUACACUUGUUGCUUAAAAGAUGAACAAAUAGAUUAUAGUGACUAAUCUAUUUGGUGAAUUAAAUUGUGGCUUCUUACAAAUUCCACACAAGUAGUCUAAGAUCUUUUUUUUCUCUUCAAAUAAACCCACAGGAUGGCUUGUAGAUACUUUGUCAUGAAUCUUCCAUUGAGAAUUUCUUAUUUGUUUGCUCUUCACCUUAUGUGAUUACUUACCUGGAAUACGUACAAAAAAUGUUUCUGCCCACUAGAUGGAACAUUUAAAAAUUUUACACAAACUUGGGUGGGAAUGGGCAGGUAGGAAAAAAAAAAAAAUCUUUUGUUACUAGCUUCAUUUUAAAGGCAAGGCUGGAAUAAUUUACCACUUUGCAUGAAGAAAACUCAGGGCAGAGGUGUGGGUGGCAUAUUGGACCCAAAAAAACCAAGCCAGUAAGUCCACAUAUCUCUGCACUGUCAGGAUUUUCUUGCUUGGAAUCCCUUCAGUCUGGAGUGUAUUUGAGAGCAACCUAUGGUCUCUAUAGGUUCUCUUCAGCAACCUAUGAGAUAGCAUAACGAGUUCUCAUAAUGUCGUAAUAUUCUGGUGAGUUUCAUAAUACUGAUGUUUUACUUUAAAUCGAUUGAAAACUGAAAGAAGGAGAAAAUCUCAGUUUCCAUUUUAAAGAAUGUUUCUAGCCCACAUGAUUUCAGAGAGUAUUAGAAAAGUGAUUUCAACGCAUUUAGAAAACUAAAAAAUUAAAACACCAAUAACCUGUAAGCAGUCAUUAUUACUGAGUGGAAAGAGAAACAGACCCAGUGGUUUUGAAAGUUUGGAGCUGGCAUUAGCAAAAACCUCAAUAGUGGAGUGCUUCCGCUUAUAGUACACCCCAAAAAUAUCAGAAAAAUGGCAUAAUAACACAAUGUCAUUUCAGAUGGAAGGAAAAUAGAAUAUCUCAGCAUAAAUAUCAUAUUAAAACAUGGAGCUAUAGCUGUGCUAUUGCAGUGCUGGUUUAUAAUGCUGAGGUCAUUGUGUGCAAAGCCAUAGAAAACUUCCAGAUUCUUUUUGUCACCUUCCUCACAGAUUCCUGGCUCUGUCUCCAAGUUAUUUCAGUCUUUGUUGGCCAUUUAUAAUACCUAACAUUCAGGUUAAGAUUAAGCCCCAGCUAAUGUUUCUCUAGGUAGAAUGCUUACCUGACUGAAUAUUUUGAUUGUGUAUUUUAGAAAUGAGAGGUCACUUCUUAUUCUGCUUAAGGCAAGACCGUCCCAUUAACAAAUCACUCUGUUGUGACAAUUGUAGGGAAAGAUUUAAGACCUUAGGAUAUUUUUAAGCAUUAAUAUUAGUGUAAUUUAUAAAAAAAACCAACAGUGGCUAAAAUGUUCAUCGGAGGUUUUUUAUAGUAUAUGAAUACAUGUAUCAAAUAAAGCUUCUUUUUGUACUAGAAUGUUUGUAUGGGAGCCACUAAGAUGGUAUUGCAGCUGUUUGACUUCUUCAGGGCUAUCCUUAUGACAACAAUGAAAUAUAUGAAAAGACCUUAUUAGCUACAUGUAUUUAAUAUAUAUGAUAGAUUUAUCUUCUGUAAAAAUAUCUGUGUCAUGAUAUCAUAGGAUACUGUCUCUUUCUUGUUUAAAAAAAGAAAAAUAAAAGCAUCAGCCAAC